rnacentral:tRNA from 1 species
GGCUCGUUGGUCAAGAGGCUAAGACGCUGCCCUCUCACGGCAGAAUCAUGGGUUCGAUUCCCGUACGAGCUACGA